CCAUAUUAGCGUUUAUUACAACGGGUUUUUCUUUCUUUUAUACAGACAUUAGUCACCUACGAGCAAUGGCUUUUCCAGCAACAAAUCGGCGGUUACGUGGAGUACUACGCAGGGAAAAUUGUCUACCUCACAAUAAAGGGCGCCGGACACAGAGUUUCAAGAGACAAGCCACCCGUCUCACUGCAAAUAAUAACGCGUUUCAUUGCAAGUGCCCCGUUCUAAAAGAAAGAAACAAGAAA
rnacentral:lncRNA from 1 species